rnacentral:misc_RNA from 1 species
GAUGAAGAACGCAGUGAAAUGCGAUAAGUAAUGUGAAUUGCAGAAUUCAGUGAAUCAUCGAAUCUUUGAACGCACAUUGCGCCCGUCAGUAUUCUGGCGGGCAUGCCUGUUCGAGCGUCAUUACGCCCCUCAAGUCCCCUGUGGACUUGGUGUUGGGGAUCGGCGAGGCUGCUUUUCCAGCACAGCCGUCCCUUAAAUUAAUUGGCGGUCUCGCCGUGGCCCUCCUCUGCGCAGUAGUAAAACACUCGCAACAGGAGCCCGGCGCGGUCCACUGCCGUAAAACCCCCCAACUUUUUAUAGUUGACCUCGAAUCAGGUAGGACUACCCGCUGAACUUAAGCAUAUCAAUAAGCGGAGGA